ACUCAGGGGAGCUCAGUGCCCUUCCCAGCUCUGCCAUGAACUCCCCUGGGCAAGUCACUUCAUCUUUCUGGGCCUCAGUUCCCCAUCUGUAAAAUGGGGAUGCUAAUCUUUUGUCUCUCUGGUUUAGUUAGACUCUUUGGACAGGGACCAUCU
rnacentral:snoRNA from 1 species